UACGAAGGGGGCUAGCGUUGCUCGGAAUUACUGGGCGUAAAGCGCACGUAGGCGGCUUUCUAAGUCGGGGGUGAAAUCCUGGAGCUCAACUCCAGAACUGCCUUCGAUACUGGAGAGCUUGAGUCCGUGAGAGGUGAGUGGAACUGCGAGUGUAGAGGUGAAAUUCGUAGAUAUUCGCAAGAACACCAGUGGCGAAGGCGGCUCACUGGCCCGGUACUGACGCUGAGGUGCGAAAGCGUGGGGAGCAAACAGG
rnacentral:rRNA from 1 species